GCCUGGAUAGCUCACUUGGUUAGAGCGUGGGCACUGAUGCUGCCAAGGUUGCAGGUUCGAUUCCCGUAUGGGACA